rnacentral:rRNA from 1 species
UACAGAGGUCUCAAGCGUUGUUCGGAUUUACUGGGCGUAAAGGGCGCGUAGGCGGCCACCGCAAGUCGGUUGUGAAAUCUCCGGGCUUAACCCGGAAAGGUCAAUCGAUACUGCGGGGCUAGAGUGCAGAAGGGGCAACUGGAAUUCUCGGUGUAGCGGUGAAAUGCGUAGAUAUCGAGAGGAACACCUGCGGCGAAGGCGGGUUGCUGGGCUGACACUGACGCUGAAGCGCGAAAGCUAGGGGAGCGAACGGG